rnacentral:lncRNA from 1 species
CCUUUGGUCCAGUGGGAGAGCCCUUGCACUUAGAAUAAUGAGUGCAAGGGUUCGAGCCUCCAUAAAAGCAUUUAUGGGGCUUAUUUAUAAUCUUUCCUCAAUUAUCACAUAAUUGAGUGGAGCCAGUCUAUUCCUCACGAAAUGUGAGUAGAGUGGACAGAAUUUGGGCAGCGCUUCAGAGGAGUACAUGCCACGAUGAAGGUCUCAAAUUGUAGAAUCUGUGUGUAAAUAUUAAUUGUAAUACUUACAAUCCUGUAUAAAAGAAAACGACAUUCAUACAUCCAAACUAUUGAUUUCAUUUAUUAAUAGUUUAUAUUAAAUAGCCA